CUCGGUUGCACUAAUGGCAGCCGGCCGCCCACUAGACGUGUCCAACAUUCUGUAUUACGGCACGGAUGAAGUAAUUGGCUAUUGUGCAUAAGAUCCCGAAAACCAAUAUAUCCAGUUCGCUGCCUAUCCUUGUGCCCUCGCCGUCGCAGCCGCCGCCCAACCGUCGCGCCCGCGAACUCCUCACGAGAGAAUUUUUGGGUCCUGAUCCGAGGAGAGGAGAUGUCGGACAGCGAAGAGCACCAGUUCGAGUCGAAGGCAGACGCCGGCGCUUCCAAGACCUACCCGCAGCAGGCCGGCACCAUUCGCAAGAACGGCUACAUCGUCAUCAAGAACCGCCCCUGCAAGGUUGUGGAGGUUUCAACAUCUAAAACCGGGAAGCAUGGUCAUGCCAAGUGCCACUUUGUUGCUAUUGACAUCUUCACCGGCAAGAAACUUGAAGAUAUUGUGCCAUCUUCUCACAACUGUGAUGUUCCUCAUGUGAAUCGCACAGAAUACCAGCUCAUUGAUAUAUCUGAGGAUGGAUUUGUGAGUCUGCUGACUGAUAAUGGUAACACCAAAGAUGACCUCAAGCUCCCAACUGAUGAAACCCUCCUUGGCCAGAUCAAGGAUGGGUUUGCUGAAGGGAAGGACCUGGUGGUGUCUGUCAUGUCCGCCAUGGGAGAGGAGCAGAUUAAUGCGCUCAAGGACAUCGGCCCCAAGUAAUCAGCCCGUUAGCCAUGGGAUGCACUAUUUUCUCAAGUGUCGUUCAUUUGUGUCUGCCGGUUAAGAUGGAUUUGGGUGUCACAGCCAUUGAGGAAUUUUACCUUUUUGCAGAACUAAGUUGUCAGUGUUUGGUUGAUUUGUAGUCCUAAAUUCAUGGGUGAUUGUAUCCUAAAACGUCGCCCCGGGGUUUUAUUGACCCCUCUUGACUAUUGGUGUUGCUGGUGUUGCAGUGUGGAGGUGCAACUUUUGACAGCUGGAGAUACUACUGCCCAGAAAGACAGCGGGCAGAUGAGUUUUGUUGCCAAUUUUUGUCAUGGCGAAUGGAAGCUUCGGUGGUUUGAUUAUUACUUCAUUACUCUCGGAACAAAGUUGCUUUCUGUCAUUGUCAGAGUGGUCUUGUACGGCAUCCUCACGCAAGGUGUUUUAGCCUCCUACGGUUCACAUGAUGAAAUGUAAAAGAUUGUGAAAUUAGAGAGUGAACUC
rnacentral:rRNA from 1 species